AAGCGUCACUGUAAGAUUUGGUGAGCGCUUAGUAUCCGUCAGACCCCGGGCCAAGAGCGAGUCAACAGCCUUUCAUUGACUCCUAAUAACCGGUGAUGUUGCCUCCUCAAGAGUCCCCUCCUGACUUCUCUGCUCAGAGUUGCUCCCUCCUCCAGUCACUGUGACAUCAUCAUGUUUGGUGUUCACAGCACUUGUCAUGGGCAAUGAACUUGCAGUUCAUGUGUCACCCAGCAGAAAACCAGUUCCUGAGGGCCGGGACGUGCUUUGUUCGCAGCUGAAUCCCCAUGUCUGGAUCAGCAUAGGGCACAUGAUCUUUACUGAGAAUUGCUGUGGGCCAGAUACUGUGUGAAAUGCUGAUGGUACAGCAGCAAACAAGACAUGUGAGGGCCCUGUCCUCAGAGUUGCAAGAGGGACAGACAAGAAACAGGGUCUCUCUGGCUGUCCGCAAGGAAUGAACUCAGGGGACCGUGCCGAGGCAGGACACCAGGAGGAGGUGACAGUGAUGGCUCAGGCUGAUUUCUACCUCCUGCGAACACUUUUGACCAUUCUCCAUCAAAGGAGCGACAUUGGGGCCCCCUUUGGGCAAGUUGCCUCGGUUUUCUGCUCCUGAAAAUGGGGCCAAGGAGAAGCUGCAGAGGCUGGGAG